GAAAAGUCAAUAAAAGAUUAUGUUAUGACAGUUAUGUUUUCAAUACACUUUUUUUGAAAGGCAAACUUUUAUUCCACACCAACAUAUAUACAAGGGAUCCAACAAGUAGCUAUAUGUCCUGUCUUCAACAAUCGAUUUGCCACAGGUAGCGACAACAGGAACCAAUGCCUGAGAAGAAUGAGUUGCUCUAGCGAUAACAAAUUUAAACUUAAGAUUACUUUCAAGUCUUUCGAGAAACUUGAGGUAUCUAGAGCUCCAACGGAGGUUCUACGAUGAAUGGUAAU
rnacentral:lncRNA from 1 species